rnacentral:misc_RNA from 1 species
CUGUAAGGAAACGAGGGUCUUGAGACUGCGCCGUUUCAUGGCGUGUGCUCGACUCUUACUCUCUUAACACACCCCGGGGGGUGAAAGUCCCCCCUUUUACAAACACCGAGUUAUACGCAUGUCUUUUAUGAUACUCUACGGAGUAAACAUAA